GCAUUCUUGGUCCAAUGGUAGGAUAAUUGCCUUCCAAGCAAUUGGCCCGGGUUCGAUUCCCGGAGGAUGCA